UACGUAGGGUGCGAGCGUUGUCCGGAAUUAUUGGGCGUAAAGAGCUCGUAGGCGGUGUGUCGCGUCGGCCGUGAAAACCUGGGGCUCAACUCUGGGCGUGCGGUCGAUACGGGCAUCACUGGAGUUCGGCAGGGGAGACUGGAAUUCCUGGUGGUAGCGGUGAAAUGCGCAGAUAUCAGGAGGAACACCGGUGGCGAAGGCGGCAUCCUGGACCGGUAUUGACGCUGAGGCGCGAAAGCGUGGGGAGCGAACAGG
rnacentral:rRNA from 1 species